GUGAAUCAUCGAAUCUUUGAACGCAAAUUGCACUCUCUGGUACUCCGGAGAGUAUGCCUGUUUGAGGGUCAGUUUAAAUAAAAAUCGGUGUGGUUGCUGCCUUUCGUGGUGACGCACCGGAUGUGGGUCGUCUUGCCUUCGGUUAGGUGACCUAAAAUUUUGCAUGAUUUUUUUGAAAGUUUUUAAAUGGAUUUUAGUUAGUUUGGCGUUUUGAAAUAUUGGU
rnacentral:misc_RNA from 1 species